UAUGGCCAUAUCACCUUGAAAUAUCGGUUCUCGUUCGUUUACGGAAGUUAAGCAACAUCGAGCCUGAUCAGUACUUAGGUGAGUGACCGCUUGGGAAUAUCAGGUGCUGUAAG